UCUGCUUUGUGAUAGAGCUUGUGACUGCCAAAAAUCUUGUGCACAGUGAUAUGACUGUUUUAGGAUCUUAAGGGUAGAAUUUUGUGAAAGGUGUUGGGGAUAUAGCAGUGAACGAAACAGAAGACCCCUGACACUGAGGAGCUCAUGUUCCAUGGGGAAGGUGAAGCGGAAAAAAACUCAAAAGAAUAAAUAAGGGAAUUUCAAGAGGUUUGAAGGAAAUCUAACUAGGUAAUGUGAUAGUGGGACCUAGGGAAAUGGAAGGGCAUGGGCUGCUUUAGAUAGGAUGGGAAAUCUCUUGGGGGAGAUUAAAAUUGAACUAAGACCUGAAUUACAUGGAAAAAUUUAGCCAAAGGAAAAGCAUUCCAGAGAGAGAGCAUGGCAGUGCAAAGGCCUUGCAGAAAGAAUCAGUGUAAAAAGUCCAAGAAUGAAAGAAAGCCAGUGUAGCUAGAGCUUGAAGAAUGGGGAUGGGAGUGGUAAGACAUGAAGGUAAGUUUGCAGGGGCCAGAUCAUAUCAGGCCUGGAAGAUGAUAUAGCUGUUUAAAGUUUAUUCUAAAUGCAAUGAGAAGCCAGCUCCUAGCAAGAUAAUAAACUGCUUUUCCAGAACGUUAA